rnacentral:rRNA from 1 species
AUGGGCGCAGCCCUGAUGCAGCCGACGCCCCGUGAGGGAUGACGGCCUUUCGGGUUGUAAACCUCUUUCAGUAGGGAAGAAGCGAAAGUGACGGUACCUGCAGAAGAAGCACCGGCUAACUACGUGCCAGCAGCCGCGGUAAUACGUAGGGUGCGAGCGUUAUCCGGAAUUAUUGGGCGUAAAGAGCUCGUAGGCGGUUUGUCGCGUCUGUCGUGAAAGUCCGGGGCUUAACCCCGGAUCUGCGGUGGGUACGGGCAGACUAGAGUGCAGUAGGGGAGACUGGAAUUCCUGGUGUAGCGGUGGAAUGCGCAGAUAUCAGGAGGAACACCGAUGGCGAAGGCAGGUCUCUGGGCUGUAACUGACGCUGAGGAGCGAAAGCAUGGGGAGCGAACAGGAUUA